UCUUGCCCACAGGCUCCCAAACUCCAAGGAGUCAUACAAAUGAAACCAAUGACAAAUGUGCUACACUUGUUUUACUGGGAUCUAUUAGAUCGAACUUGUAAACAGCUCAUAACUGCUAAACUACACAAUAUGACUUCUAUGUUGGAUUCUGAAGUCCCCUGGAUCUUCUCCUUAUCCUCUUUGGGCUCAUAUACUGUGAAGGCAGGAGAUGAAGAGCAAUAA
rnacentral:lncRNA from 1 species